GAUGAACGCUGGCGGCGUGCAUAACACAUUCAAGUCGAACGGACGCGACGGGAGCUUGCUCCUGUCAAGUUAGUGGCGGACGGGUGAGUAACGCGUGAGCAACCUGCCUUACAAAGCGGGAUAACAUCGGGAAACUGGUGCUAAUACCGCAUAACGUAUUUCAACCGCAUAAUGUACCGGGAUGGCAUCUUCCUGGUACCAAAGGAGCAAUCCGCUGAAAGAUGAGCUCGCGUCUGAUUAGCUAGUUGGUGGGGUAACGGCCCACCAAGGCGACGAUCAGUAGCCGGUCUGAGAGGAUGAACGGCCACAUUGGGACUGAGAUACGGCCCAGACUCCUACGGGAGGCAGCAGUGGGGAAUAUUGGGCAAUGGGGGAAACCCUGACCCAGCAACGCCGCGUGAAGGAAGAAGGCCUUCGGGUUGUAAACUUCUUUUACCAGGGACGAAGAACGUGACGGUACCUGGAGAAAAAGCAACGGCUAACUACGUG
rnacentral:rRNA from 1 species